UGUAAUAAACGAGGAACCUUUUGUUCGCCUGGCUAGGGUUAGCAAGACUAGGCUGAAGAAGACUACUAACCUUCAUCCCACGACCACCAGAAGGCAGAAAAAGACCCUCUAGCAACUAGAGAGACAUGCGCAGAACUACUAAGAGGAUACGUCACCCCUCACCUCUCACCCGAAGACUGAACAA